rnacentral:piRNA from 1 species
UGCCUAUUGUGAGCCCAAGGUGGACUGAUGU